GGCGCUGUAGCCAAGUGGUAAGGCAGAGGUCUGCAAAACCUCCACUCGCCGGUUCGAAUCCGGCCAGCGCCUCCA
rnacentral:tRNA from 2 species